UAAAACUCAAAGGNNNNGACGGGGGCCCGCACAAGCGGCGGAGCAUGCGGAUUAAUUCGAUGCAACGCGAAGAACCUUNCCAAGGCUUGACAUGUGCCGGUCUGCUCCGGAGACGGGGUUUCCUCCCUUGUGGGGGCUGGUUCACAGGUGGUGCAUGGUUGUCGUCAGCUCGUGUCGUGAGAUGUUGGGUUAAGUCCCGCAACGAGCGCAACCCUUGUCUCGUGUUGCCAGCACGUUGUGGUGGGGACUCGCGGGAGACUGCCGGGGUCAACUCGGAGGAAGGUGGGGAUGACGUCAAAUCAUCAUGCCCCUUAUGUCUUGGGCUUCACGCAUGCUACAAUGGCCGGUACAGAGGGCUGCGAUACCGUGAGGUGGAGCGAAUCCCUUAAAGCCGGUCUCAGUUCGGAUCGGUGUCUGCAACUCGACACCGUGAAGUUGGAGUCGCUAGUAAUCGCAGAUCAGCAACGCUGCGGUGAAUACGUUCUCGGNC
rnacentral:rRNA from 1 species